UACGUAGGUGGCAAGCGUUGUCCGGAAUUACUGGGCGUAAAGAGCGCGUAGGCGGGGAUUUAAGUCAGGAGUGAAAACUGCCGGCUCAACCGGCAGCCUGCUCUUGAAACUGGAUUUCUUGAGGGUAUGAGAGGAAAGCGGAAUUCCCAGUGUAGCGGUGAAAUGCGUAGAUAUUGGGAGGAACACCAGUGGCGAAGGCGGCUUUCUGGCAUACAACUGACGCUGAGGCGCGAAAGCGUGGGGAGCGAACGGG
rnacentral:rRNA from 1 species